AUGAGUGAAUGCUCUUAUUUUGAAAUCAGAGCGGAGCUCCUUUUUACCCACCUCCCUCCUUUCCUGGUGCGUAUUUCAGACCCAGUGCUUUGGAGACUGUGUAUCAGGUUGUGUGCUGUCCAGAUGGAUGUGAACAAGUUGGGGCGUGGUGUCCUCAGUUGACAACCUGAACAGCCUGAAUGGCUGUUGGGUAAAUCAGCCACCCUCAGGAAAAAUAGAGACCAGACACCAAACCUGGGACCAACUGCCUGAAGGGGGAAUUUUCCGGAAGCAUUAUAAGUUAUUUCCCAAAUGUUUCGGUGAGACCCAGAGUUCCAGAGCACUGUGGUGAGUCCACAUUGUGGCUGGAAUAAUAGAGGUGAGUGAACCAUUUGGCCAGGUGAGGGAGCUGGGAAGAGUUUUCCAGGUAAGUGGAAGACUAUAUGGUG
rnacentral:lncRNA from 1 species